rnacentral:rRNA from 1 species
UUCGGCUCAACCGGGGUCCGCAAAGAAACUUCCAUGCUUGAGGGAAGUAGAGGUAGGGAAUUCCGGUGGAGCGGUGAAAUGCGUAGAUAUCGGAAGGAACACCAAUAUGGCGAAGGCACUGUACUGGGCUUUACCUGACGCUAAGAGACGAAAGCUAAAGGAGUGAUUAGGAUUAGAUACCCUAGUAAUUUUAGCCGUAAACGAUGGAAACUCACUGCCGAGCCGGUAUUCGGAGCGGUGGUCAAGCUAACGCGUGAAGUUUCCCGCCUGGGGAUUACGCAUGCAAAUGUGAAACUCAAAGGAAUUGACGGGGACCCGCACAAGCGGUGGAGUAUGUGGUUUAAUUCGAUGCAACGCGAAAAACCUUACCAAGGUUUGAAAUCAUUCUAAAACUCUUUGAAAGAAGAGCCUCCUUCGGGAUAGAAUGACAGGUGGUGCAUGGCUGUCGUCAGCUCGUGUUGUGAAAUGUCAAGUUAAGUCUUGUAACGAGCGCAACCCAUGUCUUUUGUUGCUGUUUUACAGUGCUUAAAAGAGACUGCCGCUAUACAGCGGAGGAAGGUGUGGAUGGAUGAUGUCAAGUCAGCAUGCCCCUUAUAUCUUGGGCUACACACGUACUACAAUGGUAGGGACAAUGAGUCGCAAACCUGUGAAGGCUAGCCAAUCUCAAAAACCCUAUCUCAGUUCGGAUUGUACUCUGCAACUCGAGUACAUGAAGGUGGAAUCGCUAGUAAUCGCUGGUCAGCAUACAGCGGUGAAUACGUUCCCGGGUCUUGUACACACUGCCCGUCACACCAUGGAAGUCGAUCCUUCCCUAAGUCGUUACUCGAACCUUUAUGGACGAGGAUGCCGAAGGCAGGGUUGGUGACUAGGGUGAAGUCGUAACAAGGUAGCCGUACUGGAAGGUGUGGCUG